UCGGGGUGUAGCUCAGUUUGGUUUAGAGCACUAGCAUGGGGGGCUAGGGGUCGCCAGUUCAACUCUGGCCACUCCGAUC
rnacentral:tRNA from 1 species